rnacentral:rRNA from 1 species
AUGUGGCAGUUAUUUCAGGACGCGGUCCUAACUAGAGAUGUUGUGAAACGGCGAAAUUGGGUUGGUAAUGCUAAGUGUUCGUUUUGUGCUACUCGUAAGACGGCGCAACAUCUUUUCUUCCUAUGCCCUGUUGCCAGAGUGAUCUGGCGAUUGGUGGGAGCGGUCCUGGGCACCGAUCUUUGUCCUAAUAAUCUCUGGCAGUAUUACACUUGGUGUUAUAUUUACCUUCCUGAUGGUGCUAAGUUCUAUACCUUCGGUCUUGCUGCCAUCUGUUGGGCAAUUUGGAACAGUCGUAACAGUGCAACCUUUGAGUUUAAGCUCCCUAAAACUCCUUUUGAGAUUGUCUUUUCUGCGUGUGUCUUUAUCACCUACUGGGCAGGUCUCUUGAAAGAGGCAGACCGUGAGGCAAUGGAGCGUGGAGCAGAGAUGCUGAGGCGCAGCACAAGCAACAUGAUGAUGAUCUGCGCAGCUGCAACCGAAGAUUCGGCGACUACAUGA